GUCGAGGAUCAUUUGCAAUGGGGGAAACCCUGACAAUGCGACGCUGCGUGCAGGAUGAAGGUCUUCGGAUUGUAAACUGCUGUCAUGAGGGAAAAGGACAGGGGGCCCAAUAAGCUCUCUCGUUUGAUUGUACUUCAAGAGGAAGUCGCGGCUAACUCUGUGCCAGCAGCCGCGGUAAUACAGAGGCGACGAGCGUUGUUCGGAUUUACUGGGCGUAAAGCGUGCGCAGGCGGUCGAUCAUGUCGGAUGUGAAAUCCCGGGGCUCACCCCCGGAAGUGCAUCUGAAACCGGUUGACUAGAGACUGGGAAGGGAGUUUGGAACACAUGGAGGAGCGGUGAAAUGCGUUGAUAUCAUGUGGAACACCGGUAGCGAAGGCGAAACUCUGGAACAGAUCUGACGCUCAUGCACGAAAGCGUGGGGAGCAAACAGGAUUAGAAACCCUAGUAGUCC
rnacentral:rRNA from 1 species